UAGUCCUUGAUGGUGGCACUAAUUUCUGGU
rnacentral:piRNA from 1 species